rnacentral:tRNA from 3 species
GGGGGUAUGGCGCAGCUGGUAGCGCGCCUCGUUCGCAUCGAGGAGGCCAGGGGUUCGAGUCCCCUUACCUCCACCA